GACGAACGCUGGCGGCGUGCUUAACACAUGCAAGUCGAACGGAAAGGCCCUGCUUUUGUGGGGUGCUCGAGUGGCGAACGGGUGAGUAACACGUGAGUAACCUGCCCUUGACUUUGGGAUAACUUCAGGAAACUGGGGCUAAUACCGGAUAGGAGCUCCUGCUGCAUGGUGGGGGUUGGAAAGUUUCGGCGGUUGGGGAUGGACUCGCGGCUUAUCAGCUUGUUGGUGGGGUAGUGGCUUACCAAGGCUUUGACGGGUAGCCGGCCUGAGAGGGUGACCGGCGACAUUGGGACUGAGAUACGGCCCAGACUCCUACGGGAGGCAGCAGUGGGGAAUAUUGCACAAUGGGCGGAAGCCUGAUGCAGCAACGCCGCGUGCGGGAUGACGGCCUUCGGGUUGUAAACCGCUUUCGCCUGUGACGAAGCGUGAGUGACGGUAAUGGGUAAAGAAGCACCGGCUAACUACAUG
rnacentral:rRNA from 1 species